rnacentral:rRNA from 1 species
CAGUAGCCGCGGUAAAACGGAGGAUCCAAGCGUUAUCCGGAAUCAUUGGGUUUAAAGGGUCCGUAGGCGGUCUUGUAAGUCAGUGGUGAAAGCCCAUCGCUCAACGGUGGAACGGCCAUUGAUACUGCAGGACUUGAAUUAUUGGGAAGUAACUAGAAUAUGUAGUGUAGCGGUGAAAUGCUUAGAGAUUACAUGGAAUACCAAUUGCGAAGGCAGGUUACUACCAAUUGAUUGACGCUGAUGGACGAAAGCGUGGGUAGCGAACAGGAUUAGAUACCCCCGUAGUCCCUGUCUCUUAUAA